GAGUGGUCACUUUCAGCGUGGUUUCCUUCUAUUAUUUUCCUUCCCACAAGUUGUUGCUUUCUUUCACCAUCUUCACACCAUUCCAUUUUGGUGAAAAACCAAUUGAUGCUUUGCAAUCUUAUUCUAAAAACUCUGACCAAUACUUUCAAAAUUCAAAUUUCAUAAAUCCCUCUAAAAGUUUCAAAAACAAUACUUAUCUUUGUUCCUCUCUUUCUUCCUCUUUGUUUUUUUGCUUCCUCCAUCUCUCUCAUAAGAAAUGAAGAAGCAGCACACACCAUGAAGGUGGCGGCAGCCUUAAGCUUCAAAGUUCACAAAUUAGGGUUUGAUUGAAUUCACUUCCAUUGCAAUAGUCAGUGAAAGAGGAUUGUCUGCACUUGAGAAAAAUAGAUGAAACAGAGAUCGAUGAAGCAGAGCACACGAUCCAGCCACGACAAUGUUAUUGUUUGAUUUUGGGUUUGAACUAAAAGGCAACAAUAAUGUAUUCGGCGAGUUUCACAAUGGCUUUAUGAACAAUAGAGAAAGAACUGGCGAGGGAUGGUUAAUUUGUUUUCUAUUUCAUUCUGUUUUUCAUUUACGUAGUUUUUCUUUCUUAUUCAUAGUAGCUUCAUUUUGAUUUCCAUUUUAUGUCUCUUUUUCCACAAAAUUGGGAAUGAUGUAUCAAGAAUUAAGGGUGAUAUUGUUAUACCUAUAAUUACAUGACAUUAUUAAGUCUUUUAUUUAUUUUUUAAUCGCAAUCAGGUUAAAAGAAAUUCUGAUUUUUUUUUUGUGCAGUCACACAAUAAUGAAGAGGUUUGGUUUCUUUCCCUUUUUUCACAUGUGCAUAGACAUCAACCAUUAACUAGGAACAGUGACCGUUAGUUUGAUUCAAUCUAUUAAGAUAUGCCUUAUUAGUAGGAAAUUUUAGUUAACCAAGGUUUGUUCUACUACUAUCAAAUUUCUACCAUUUACACGGCUUGCAACAAUAUACUAUGUUUGGUUUUAUUUGUUUGCUAAUGUUACAAUCAGUUACAUACAUGGUCUUUUAUCUGCGAAUUUCGUGAUAUGUAUUAAUUUGUAUGGUAUUCUAUUAUAGUUUAUUUAACUUCAUGUCUUUUGUUUUCUUGGUUUGCAGACUUUUCCUUAUCUCCGAAUCAAAUAAUUACAAUGGUUCUGGGUAAGUUUAUAUGAAGGUUGAUUUCAAUUACCUUUUACACAGGCUCUUAGCAAUAUGUCUUUGAAACAUUAGUUUUGAACCAAAAUUGAAAACUACAGUUAUUUUUCUUCAAACCAUCAAGUCAAUAUUUGAUCUAUUUCUUUUUUGGAUUUUUAAUUUAGCAGUUAUCUUUUCAUUAUUCAUUUAUGUAUAACUAAGUCUUCAAACUAUCUCAUUAGAAUGACUCAAGUGUUCAAAAUACAUGAUUUGGUUAUCUUUUUUUAUAGCAUUCUCUAAAUUUCAACUAUCUUGCAACAAUCUUGAUGACUCAAGUAUUCAAACUACAUGAAAAAAACAAAACAGAAUGUCAUUGAUACAAAUGUUGUAACUACAUUUCCAGCUACAAUAUUUUGUAUAUAUAUUUUUUUUGUUCAAUUUGAAAUGGUAGAACAUUUUAGGCAGAAAACUAAUAUUUGACUUUUUAAUGUGAAGCUUUAAUUUUUGUUCCGUUAUAAAUGACCAAAUUUUGUUUGCAACACAACAAAAUGGAAAAUACUACUACAAAGUAUAAUAUCAUUUGUUGCUUUCUCAA